UAAAAGGCCUCAUGCAGAGUUAAUCUUGUUUGGGUGGUUCAGCAGUUGUAUUUAGCUGCUAUGUGCUGGUUUACAGAGAAUACCUAGGCACUAAUUUCUUAUUAAUGAGCAUCUUGAGUUACAAUAUUAAUGCCUGGCUCAUCAAGAGAAGUUGUGGAGUGCUGAAAGUCACUGUGGUUCGUCUGGUGAAGACCAUGGGACCUUCCAUACCAAGAAACAUAUCUAGGCUUGAGCAAAUCCAUGUGUUCAAUCAGAACAGCAAAGGUACACAACUCGACAACUGGCAUCUAAUGAACCAAAAGCUUCUGAAAAUCUCACUACUGACUUUGCCAAGCUGAACUCUACCCGUGAGGUCUGUGAGUCCCGCUACCAAUGUCCUUACUGAAGCAGACCAUUUUUGCCAGUCUUGGAGGUUGUUUCACCGAUGUGAGCACUUAGCCACCAGAAGCAAAACUGAGAAGAGCAGAUGUGUUCUAUUAAAACUAGAGUGCAGCCAAAAUAGCCUUUUGAGUAUGGCUUCAUUAAGACACAGGUGACUGAAAUCUUGAUCACAACUCUUCUCAGAACAAACAAACAAAAACUCAAUUUCCUAUUUGUUGCCUGAUUUCAACUGCAGGGUGUGAAGCUGGUGCUAUUUCACAGAUACUGUGCAUGGUAUCCAUUUUCACAAAGUGUAUUAGAUCCAGUAUCCACUCCUUACAGCCCCAAAUUGUUUCUAUGCCCUAUUUCUGUAUGCUGUUAGUAAAGAAGGAUUAAACCACUAAAACAAAAAAAAAAUACAAAAAAAAAACCCUCACAUUGUAUAAAACCUUUCUGGAACGCUAUUGCUGCUUGUAGAUUGUAUCACUGAGUGGUAGAAUGCUUAUAAUGGUUGUAUGUAAGCGAAAACGUUUAAGAUUUUUGUAGAGGAAGUAUUAAGGGGGGAGAAAUCUGAUAAAUUCAUAGGUGUUUUUUUUUUCCUUACUGGGUGCAAAAGCAAAGCUUACUGAAGUCAUGGUAUAUUUCUUAUUUGAAGCCGGUGGAAUCUUGGUUCUUUCAUGAAACCACAACUUUUUUUACAAGCCCUAAUCAGAGACAGAAAAUCUCUGUGGCUGAAGAGAAGAGCACUAAGGGUUUUGUUUGUUUGUUUGUUUGUUCUUAAAUAAUAAUAAUAAUUGUGAGUGUGACCCUGAAGGAAGACACUCCCAAAGCCACACUGAGAAGACUGCAAGAGGGCUAACACUAAACCUGAAGAAUCCAAUCUCUUGCACUGUCUCUAAGCAUUUGACAGGACUGCUAUCAUCAGUAUACUUGGCUUUAAAAAAUUAAUUCCUGCUUACUGAUUAUUACGCUACCUUC
rnacentral:lncRNA from 1 species